rnacentral:lncRNA from 1 species
UCCAUUCAAAGUUGGAACUUUUGUAGGACCCCAAACAUCAAAGUGCACAAGUAUAAAUGACAAAGAAUUUUUAUUUAAACUUAGUGGAAAAGUAACACAGUGGCUCUUUGCCAAUUCAUAGGUUUCACAUUUAAAUGAUGAUCAAGAUGCGUUUGAAAAUAAUUAGGGAACAAAUGCUUUAAAUAUCCAAAUUAAACAUGUCUAAAUUGCUUG